rnacentral:rRNA from 1 species
CAGUAGCCGCGGGAAUACGUAGGUGGCAAGCGUUGUCCGGAAUUAUUGGGCGUAAAGGGCUCGCAGGCGGUUUCUCAAGUCUGAUGUGAAAGCCCCCGGCUCAACCGGGGAGGGUCAUUGGAAACUGGGAAACUUGAGUGCAAAAGAGGAGAGUGGAAUUCCACGUGUAGCGGUGAAAUGCGUAGAGAUGUGGAGGAACACCAGUGGCGAAGGCGACUCUCUGGUCUGUAACUGACGCUGAGGAGCGAAAGCGUGGGGAGCGAACAGGAUUAGAUACCCCCGUAGUCCCUGUCUCUUAUAC